UCUCCCCGCUGUCUCAAACGUGGACUCAGCGAAAUUGAACUGUCUGUGAAGAUGCAGACUUCCCGCGGUUAGACGGAAAGACCCCAUGCACCUUUACUAUAGCUUCGCACUGGCAUCAGGAAUGUGAUGUGCAGGAUAGGUGGUAGGCUUUGAAGCGGGGACGCCAGUUCCCGUGGAGCCACCCUUGAGAUACCACCCUUCGCCUUCUUGAUGUCUAACCGCGGCCCGUUAUCCGGGUCCGGGACCCUGCGUGGUGGGUAGUUUGACUGGGGCGGUCGCCUCCCAAAGAGUAACGGAGGCGCGCGAAGGUUGGCUCAGAGCGGUCGGAAAUCGCUCGUUGAGUGCAAUGGCAGAAGCCAGCCUGACUGCAAGACUGACACGUCGAGCAGAGUCGAAAGACGGCCAUAGUGAUCCGGUGGUCCCAAGUGGAGGGCCAUCGGCUCAACGGA
rnacentral:rRNA from 1 species